CCCGCCUCCCACGCGACGUAACCGGGGCGCCGCGAUCCCACAAUGCGCCGCGGUGGGGUCCUCUUGCCUACGGUGCUCGUCUUAGUGUCCCGCUGACCCUGUAUCAUCAGGGUGCAAGAAGCACCAGCCCCAAGAACAGGUGGAAACAAACCAGCCAAGGAGACAGUGAAGUCAGAUGAUGGGGAAGGAUCCCACUCAUGGAGCAGCAAGUACCUGAGACAACAUCUCCCUAGGACUGCAGGCAAGAGAUCAGGCUGGUUUUGAGCUGGCGUUUGAUAAUGUUACAUAUGGGAUUGUCAGAGGGAGCUGCCUUUGACAGCAGGACUGGACUCCAGUGUUCCUCCCCAGCUCAGUGGAUCCGGCAGGGGGCAGCUGGAGUGACAAAUUCAGAGCAGCCCCAAGGUGGAACAGUGCAGGGAUUAACCUGGAACAACCUAUCAGGGAACAAGGUUCUCCAGCAGAGUGAACCAUUAGGUCUGACCUCCGGGGACUAGGUGCCAGGAUCAGGUCUUCAAAGAGCCCCCAGGCCUCCAGUGGUCGCAGAUUUGGAUGAAAACAGCAGAGAUGGUAGCCCCUUCGGAUGGUAGCUCACCCGAAAGUGCCAGUGGUCUCCCAAAAGUGCCACUUAUAGGUCAGCAGGAUUGACUGCAGGAGAGCUCCACCCGGUCAAUGACUGACCACUAGGGGGGCAAGUGCCCCCUCUGACUAGAGGUACCAGUCACCCAUGAAGUAGAUGGAGAUCCUCUCAAAGCAGAUCUGGGGGUUGUGUGGGUUGCAAACUUAAUACGAGCCAACAGUGUGAUGUCAUUGCAGAAAUAAAGCACAGGCGCUCUUGGAUGGAA